AGAGUUUGAUCAUGGCUCAGGAUGAACGCUGGCGGCGUGCCUAAUACAUGCAAGUCGAACGAGUUCUCGUUGAUGAUCGGUGCUUGCACCGAGAUUCAACAUGGAACGAGUGGCGGACGGGUGAGUAACACGUGGGUAACCUGCCCUUAAGUGGGGGAUAACAUUUGGAAACAGAUGCUAAUACCGCAUAGAUCCAAGAACCGCAUGGUUCUUGGCUGAAAGAUGGCGUAAGCUAUCGCUUUUGGAUGGACCCGCGGCGUAUUAGCUAGUUGGUGAGGUAAUGGCUCACCAAGGCGAUGAUACGUAGCCGAACUGAGAGGUUGAUCGGCCACAUUGGGACUGAGACACGGCCCAAACUCCUACGGGAGGCAGCAGUAGGGAAUCUUCCACAAUGGACGCAAGUCUGAUGGAGCAACGCCGCGUGAGUGAAGAAGGCUUUCGGGUCGUAAAACUCUGUUGUUGGAGAAGAAUGGUCGGCAGAGUAACUGUUGUCGGCGUGACGGUAUCCAACCAGAAAGCCACGGCUAACUACGUGCCAGCAGCCGCGGUAAUACGUAGGUGGCAAGCGUUAUCCGGAUUUAUUGGGCGUAAAGCGAGCGCAGGCGGUUUUUUAAGUCUGAUGUGAAAGCCCUCGGCUUAACCGAGGAAGCGCAUCGGAAACUGGGAAACUUGAGUGCAGAAGAGGACAGUGGAACUCCAUGUGUAGCGGUGAAAUGCGUAGAUAUAUGGAAGAACACCAGUGGCGAAGGCGGCUGUCUGGUCUGUAACUGACGCUGAGGCUCGAAAGCAUGGGUAGCGAACAGGAUUAGAUACCCUGGUAGUCCAUGCCGUAAACGAUGAAUGCUAGGUGUUGGAGGGUUUCCGCCCUUCAGUGCCGCAGCUAACGCAUUAAGCAUUCCGCCUGGGGAGUACGACCGCAAGGUUGAAACUCAAAGGAAUUGACGGGGGCCCGCACAAG
rnacentral:rRNA from 2 species